CGAGCAGGGCUGCAAUUCAAACGUCUAUAACGGAAGAGAAGCGGAAAAUAGCUUUGAUCGUGUACGAAUAGUAGUGCACUAAAUCGCUAAAACGAAUUUCCUUCAUCUGCAUGCCAGUUACAUAUAAAAGUUAUUUUUUUUAAACUAAGUACCGCAAAGUGGUAACAAAGUAAUUAAGGGUGUCUUAUAUACGAAAUUAAUUGGCGGUUAAAUGGAUAGAUGGAAGACAAAGUGUUGAAUUAAGUCAAUGGUCUGACCUACUUAACGGUAAACGUUCGGCUUGUGUGAGUGCUUCAAUUUGCAUAAAUUUUUCGACAUUUUGCACCUCUUUCAUAUUACACACAAAAGUACAUACUUUGUAUACUUUGAACAAAGUUGAAAGCCAUUGAAAGUAUGGCCGCAAAAUAAACAAAAACAACAACGCAAAUGGCAACAAUACCUACCAAAAAGAAUAUCACCAUCAUCAACAACAACAACAACAACAAUAAGAAUAACAGCCGGCUCGUGUAGCUACAAAAUAUCGGGAAUAUUACUUUUCUGCUGACUUUUUCGUUUCGUUUCUUGCUACAAAGUGAUUAUCGACAGCAAAAUCAAAAGGAAAGAAAAAGUUAAAAA